rnacentral:lncRNA from 1 species
GAUGGUUAUAAACUUUCCUACUGAGUUGUGAACUCAACCUAUGCCUUCCACCUUUAGAUGUAGGUCAAAAGACUUAUAUAAGAAAUAAUGCUUGAUCAUUGCUCUAUUCUGAUUGGAUGUUAGCUCGCAAUGAAAGUGUUUUGAGGAUUUGCCUUUGUAUUAAAGACUAAAUCUUUUUGUAGGAAUGAUGUAAUUAUAUAUAUUUGUCUGGUAC